rnacentral:rRNA from 1 species
GUUAUCACGGGAGACACACGGCGGGUGCUAACGUCCGUCGUGAAGAGGGAAACAACCCAGACCGCCAGCUAAGGUCCCAAAGUCAUGGUUAAGUGGGAAACGAUGUGGGAAGGCCCAGACAGCCAGGAUGUUGGCUUAGAAGCAGCCAUCAUUUAAAGAAAGCGUAAUAGCUCACUGGUCGAGUCGGCCUGCGCGGAAGAUGUAACGGGGCUAAACCAUGCACCGAAGCUGCGGCAGCGAACGUAUCACUUAAAGCGAUUCAGCGGAUGACGAUUGACGGAGCGAAGCGACGUCAAAGCGUAUACAAAGUCGAGUCGGUUUAAGGAUACGUUCGUUGGGUAGGGGAGCGUUCUGUAAGCCUGUGAAGGUGUGUCGUGAGGCAUGCUGGAGGUAUCAGAAGUGCGAAUGCUGACAUAAGUAACGAUAAAGCGGGUGAAAAGCCCGCUCGCCGGAAGACCAAGGGUUCCUGUCCAACGUUAAUCGGGGCAGGGUGAGUCGACCCCUAAGGCGAGGCCGAAAGGCGUAGUCGAUGGGAAACGGGUUAAUAUUCCCGUACUUGGUGUUACUGCGAAGGGGGGACGG